rnacentral:sRNA from 1 species
AUGAGACAGAGGGUGUUUGUGAGUCCUCAGCCCCACAAGGUAAGCAGUCCCAGAAUGGGGGCUCAGGGUCACUUGCUGUCAGGUGCCUCAGAGCACCUGGGUUAUAAGAGAGGCUCUGACACCAAAGGUGCGUAAGGUGCCCUAGCAGAGUCUAGAGGCCAGGUAGAGACCCUAGAGAUCAUUUGGGGACACCAGGGAGUCCUGGUUUAUAUAGGAAUGGUGUUUGUAGAGGCCAAAGGAGAACGUGUGACCACUAGACUGUGUGGCAGAAGCUUCCUGGCCCUCUAAGGUAUUCCUGCUCCUUAACAGGUCCACCUCCCCUUCUUGGGUUGAAGGCUGGAUCUGAAAAGAGAGCUGAGAGAGCCAUUUUGCACCUCACUGCCCUCAGCUUCUCCCAGUGAAUUCAGUGCCAGGGACUACAUGCAGAUCCAGUGGACAAGGCUCAUGAAACAGGAUGGUGAGUGCCCAAGCCUGGGUGCCCUUCCAGGCCUAUUUGUCCUUGUGUCCUUGCUGAAAGAGUUGAGAAGUCAGCAUGGACUAUUCUAGAAACUUCCCUGUGCUGGGCAGGGGGACAAGAACACAAAGACCACUACAAAAACUGAAGGUCAGGCCUGUGCCCAUCAGCUGGCUGUCCUGUCUUCAGUUCUGACCUGAGCCCUAAGAGACUUAGAACACCAUUUUUGGUUCUGACCCACUAAAAAAACGUCUAGCAGUACCCAUUCUCCAUUUGUGACAAUGGAAACUGUUUCUAGAUGCUGCUAAAUGUCCCCUGGGAACAAAAGCACCCAUCCACUUGAGAACCAUGGUCUUAGAGGACAGGUGACCAAAGACUCCAGGGUGGUCCAUCCACCUCGUUCUAAAAGCCUUUCCACCAGAUGUCCUUGCUGUGGCUUCUUCAGGGGUAAAAGUCCCUUUGGGGAUCUGGGAAUGACUUCUUCCCUAGUCAUGUCUCCUACCACUCAUUUGAAGGGAGCGUGUGGCAGGUCUUUAUCCACAGGGAGAAUGAAGGGAGCAUCUUUCCAUCUGGAUGACAGCAAGCAGGGGUAGCCAUUUCUUCACUUCCUGACCCUAAGAAGUACACGACACUAGGGUAGGAGUGACAGCAGAGCUGCGCAAGAGACCCCUCCCUACCCUUUCGAACACCUGAGAUGAGGCCACGCCCCUCAGGCUGGUGGCUAUGUGCUCAACCCCACUCGGAACCUUGCACCUGAGCUGCCCUGACUCAGACUGCUGUAUGUGACCUGUGGUUGCCACAUCUCAAGAUCAUUCCCUAUGGCUAAUGACCUAACACCUGCCAGGUGUACGUACCUUCCCCUGAAGGCGGGGGAUGGGCCCAAUGAAUCCAGAGGCAGCUUUGAAUCGUGGGUUCUAGAGUGAGUGGAAUGAUGGUGGAGGGAGACACACUAAAACGUCCAGGAGUUUCCGAGGUCCUGGCUGGCCCUACAGUGUAUUGUAAAGACGCUUGGUAUUCAAUUCCCUGUCAGCCCUCAUGCUGGCUCUCUGGGUCUCAGUCUCCUUGUUUGUAAAAUAGAGGGUUUGGAGGCCGUGAUGUGUCAAAUUUUCCUGUGCCUAGGAACAUCCGACAUGAUAUGGGUUUUGGGUCCAUUGUGUCAAUUGGGUGGCACAUUAUCCUAUAAAAUGACUGUCCUCACAUUAUAGCCAAGGAAAUUGAGACUUGCUUCCCCCAGGUUACAAAGUCAGAGGUGUUGGGUCAUGUGAUCAGGCCUGGCCCCUGGGUGGCGCUGCUGAGCACCUCAGUGGCUCUGUAAAAGGCCAACUAGCUGGAAGCCGGAAGGGUGGCCCUGCCUGCAGACUGAAGAGGGGCAGGGCAGGUGCCCAGUCCAGAGAGGAGGGGCUAAAGAUGACAAGCCGCACCCCACCUCCCCCCAACUCACAUGGGACUGGAUCCACCCUGAGGAGGUACGGGUCAACAUCCUGUUUCCGGCAAGCCCUCCUGGAGGCCACACAGAGGGGUGUUUGUUCGCAGUGGGCGGCGGGAGAGAUGCUAAUCGCGGUGGAUCGCUGGUCCCAGCUGAAGGUCAGGAGCCUCCAUCUUGCUUCCAGACCUAGAACUUCCGGCUCACCAUGCACCUCCAGCUCAAGGCAGAGCCAGGCCGCGAGUCAGCCAGCACCCCAGAUUCAGCACUGGUUAUCCAGAUGGCCUGAAUGGUUUAUUGCAAUGGGGAGAUGGGAAGGAGGGAGGGUUCGGACUGUUGCAGGGAGGUGGGGUUGAGAGUCAGCCCUCUGGAGGAGACAGCCUGGAUGGGGAGGUGGAACCCACAGACCGGACCUUUGCCCUCCAUCCCAAAGGUUAAGCAGAACUGGGGUUUUUACUAUUUGCUUAUUGUAGCGGUUGGGGACUGAACCCGGGGCCUCACAGAAAAAGGGCAGGCACUCUGCCUAUGAGGUACAUAGUAUCAGCUAAGUUACCCAGGCUGGCUUUGAACUUGCUAUGUAGGUUAAGCAGGCCUUGAACUUUUGGUCUUUCAUCAGCCUCUGGGCUGCUGGUCUCACCAACCUGUUCCCCCACAGCCAGCCAACAGCGUGCUUUUCUAGCUCUCUGGGUCUCCUAGCUUUUGAGCACAGGAAACCAGAGGGCGGGGAAGGAGGGUUGACUCGAAGACCUGGGUGGAGGUGUGGUCGGCUGAGAUCUGGGGGAUUUCUUUCCCUUCUUUCAUGCAUGUGAAUCCACUUUUGAGGAUUUCUGGAAGCCAAGUCAGUUAGACUUGAGAACUGAGCCAGUCCUGGGAGCCCUAAGAGGGGAGAGAAGUUUGUUCGUGCGUUCAUUGAUUCAUUGAUUGAUUCAUUCAUUCAUUCACCCUUUCAUUCACUGUUCGUUCAAGUGUAGGUGGACCUGCCCUGACACAUUUCCACGCCUGAGCCCUGUUAAAGUAUGAAGAAAGUCAAAGACUGGCUGCCCUCCAGGUUCUCCUCCCUGUCCAGUGGCUGAGAUGUGCUCCUCGGGUUGGACUCAGGCUGAGCAGCUCCUAUAGGCCUAAAGCCUGUAGCCCGGGGAUGCCCAGGACAGCAGAACAGACUUUCAGAUCCGCCCUCUCCUCCUCGGGACUACCUCACCAUCUACACUUGGAUUAGUAAUGGGAUGGUCAAGCCGAGUCUGCUCAGAGUCAGCCCUGACCUGCCAGUCCUCUAGGCUCCUUCCUAGUUGGCUAACCACAGUCACCUCCUUCCACAAAGUUAGGCAAAACCCUGAUCGUCACCAUUGCUCAUCGAGUAUCUAUGCCAGAAAAAUGGAGGGGGAGGGGGAGGAGGAAAGAAGAAAAAAAUUAAAAUAACAAAAAAGCGCAUUCGCACGGAA